CUUCCGUUCACAGUUUGGUCUCUUCAAUUGGGAUUUGCAGAUCUUGCUUCUGGUCACACCUUGAGGUUAGGAACGCACCAGUUCCGCGAUCCACUGAUGGAAUAUAGGUCAAACUCUUUGGAGAAGGUGGACUGGUUCAGAGUCCAGCAAAACCCCAUCUCAGCAAUAAAUAAAUGUCGUCUUUUCUCCUGGAGCCAAGGACAGAGAACCAGCUGAAAAGCAAACAGAGCUGGCCAUGAAUUCUGGGUUUGGGGCAGUUUUGGGACACUGAAUUAAACGAUGUGGUUCUCACAGGAAUUUCUCUCAAAAGGUUCAAGUCUGAAGCAAUGGCUUCAUGCGUCAAAGUGUGCGGCCCUCGAGAGCCAGGGGUCUGGAGCUUGGUGCUCCUUUCCCCCCUCAAAUAUGUGGAUAUUUUUUGGGUGGGCGGGUUGAUUAUGUAUGUUUUCUAAUAUUAUUUUUUUCCUUUCUUAUCUGUGGUGUAACUUAACCCUGCAGUUGGCAAUCCUUACCAAAAAAAAAAAAAACACUAAAAUUUUGAGAAGACAAUGAAAAGAAGUGUUGGAUUGGCCGGGCGGGGUUGAACUUCAGCUUAUCCUCCUGUGCAGAUUGGAUGGUUAAGGGAACGGUCACUUACGUAUGUGGGAUGAAGUUGGGCUUUUCUCGGCAGCGACGGCAACUUUUUGGGACUAGCCGGAGCGCCGUUGAAGCCUUUGAAACAGAGGGCGGCGUUUCCAAGUCAAAACGGUUUGGGGAAGGGUCUCGUUUUGCCUCCCACCUUCAGGAUGGCAGAGCUUCCUUCUCCAUUGCUUUUUGCGCUGAAUCCGCCCAUCUGAAAUUCGGGCUGGAAGAUCCCCUUGCGUUGGGCUUUUCUCGGCAGCGACGGCAUCUUUUUGGGACUAGCCGGUGUGACGUUGAAGCCUUUGAAACAGAGGGCAGCAUUUCCAGGUCAAAACGGUUUGGGGAAGGGUCUCGUUUUGCCUCCCACCUUCAAGAUGGCAGAGCUUCCUUCUCCAUCACUUUUGCGCUGAAUCCACCCCUCUGAAAUUCGGCCUGGAAGAUCCCGUUGCGUUGGGCUUUACUCGGCAGCGACGGCAUCUUUUUGGGACUAGCCGGAGCGCCGUCGAAGCCUUUGAAACGGAGGGCGGCGUUUCCAAGUCAAAACGGUUUGGGGAAGGGUCUCGUUUUUCCUCCCAUCUUCAAAAUGGCAGAGCUUCCUUCUCCAUCACUUUUUGCGCUGAAUCCACCCAUCUGAAAUUGGGGCUGGAAGACCCCCUGGCGCUCCUUUUCCUUCUCACCUUCGGAACAUCCUUCUUAGCCGCGAAAGGCUUUUUGUUCAUUGCCGUUCGAGGAUAAAUCUGGACGAGGAUUCGAUUUCCGAAGGUGGCCUAACAGUGGGACGUUUCCUUCAAUCGUCUUUUAUAUCCUCCCCUUGUUGCCAUCGCUCCCAGAUUUUUCAGAAAGCCAAGCUUCUCUUUCCUUUUCCCGUUGUAUAUUCUGUGUAUAGUACAAUUUGAAAAUAAACCGAAAACUCAAGAAAAGCACCCAAAAAAGGGCUGGCGUUGAAAUAACCGCGAUCGCGUUAUCACUGUGUGAUAGUUUCUACGAGCCAUGGCCUUUUUUCAAAACCCAAGUACUCAAAAGUGGAGCUCAAAUAGGGACGUAAACGGAGAGGGAGCUUGUGAAAACUCGGAUCGGACGCUCAUCGCCUUCCCCUUCGAUCUGCCGCUGACCACUAGCCACUUUCCGAAACCUUUCGGUCCGAUUCCCCUCCCUUCCUUUGCACCCCUUUCGAUCCCGAUACAUAUUUCUGUGCUGUAUUUAUCCAGACUGAGAGCACUCCUGCCUUUUUUUUUUAAAAAAAAAGAAACGAAACGCCCGGUUAGCUUUUUAUUGUCUAUUUAUUUGAACGCUGUCUUCUCUUUUUUAUUUUCGUCCUCUUUAAUCACAAGACUGAAGUUGUAUGUGGGACAAAACCUGCCUCAGUAAUAAUAUUAAUUAAUUAAUUAUUAAUAAUAAUAAAAAAAGAAUCCUUUGGAAUAA